rnacentral:piRNA from 1 species
UGAAUGUUGCUGUAAAAUUGACGUCAAGAAGC